UACGUAGGGUGCAAGCGUUGUCCGGAAUUAUUGGGCGUAAAGAGCUCGUAGGCGGUCUGUCACGUCGGCUGUGAAAUCCCGAGGCUCAACCUCGGGUCUGCAGUCGAUACGGGCAAACUAGAGUAUUGCAGGGGAGACUGGAAUUCCUGGUGUAGCGGUGAAAUGCGCAGAUAUCAGGAGGAACACCGGUGGCGAAGGCGGGUCUCUGGGCAACUACUGACGCUGAGGAGCGAAAGCGUGGGGAGCGAACAGG
rnacentral:rRNA from 1 species